rnacentral:rRNA from 1 species
ACCGACGGGAGCUUGCUCCCUUAGGUCAGCGGCGGACGGGUGAGUAACACGUGGGUAACCUGCCUGUAAGACUGGGAUAACUCCGGGAAACCGGGGCUAAUACCGGAUGCUUGAUUGAACCGCAUGGUUCAAUUAUAAAAGGUGGCUUUUACCUACCACUUACAGAUGGACCCGCGGCGCAUUACCUAGUUGGUGAGGUAACGGCUCACCAAGGCAACGAUGCGUAGCCGACCUGAAAGGGUGAUCGGCCACACUGGGACUGAAACACGGCCCAAACUCCUACGGGAGGCAGCAGUAGGGAAUCUUCCGCAAUGGACAAAAGUCUGACGGAGCAACGCCGCGUGAGUGAUGAAGGUUUUCGGAUCGUAAAACUCUGUUGUUAGGGAAAAACAAGUACCGUUCGAAUAGGGCGGUACCUUGACGGUACCUAACCAAAAAGCCACGGCUAACUACGUGCCAGCAGCCGCGGUAAUACGUAGGUGGCAAGCGUUGUCCGGAAUUAUUGGGCGUAAAGCGCGCGCAGGCGGUUUCUUAAGUCUGAUGUGAAAGCCCCCGGCUCAACCGGGGAGGGUCAUUGGAAACUGGGGAACUUGAGUGCAAAAAAGGAGAGUGGAAUUCCACGUGUAGCGGUGAAAUGCGUAAAGAUGUGGAGGAACACCAGUGGCGAAGGCGACUCUCUGGUCUGUAACUGACGCUGAGGCGCGAAAGCGUGGGGAGCGAACAGGAUUAGAUACCCUGGUAGUCCACGCCGUAAACGAUGAGUGCUAAGUGUUAGAGGGUUUCCGCCCUUUAGUGCUGCAGCAAACGCAUUAAGCACUCCGCCUGGGGGAGUACGGUCGCAAGACUGAAACUCAAAGGAAUUGACGGGGGCCCGCACAAGC